rnacentral:rRNA from 1 species
GACGAACGCUGGCGGCGUGCCUAAUACAUGCAAGUUGAGCGCUGAAGGUUGGUACUUGUACCAACUGGAUGAGCAGCGAACGGGUGGGUAACGCGUGGGGAAUCUGCCUUUGAGCGGGGGACAACAUUUGGAAACGAAUGCUAAUACCGCAUAAAAACUUUAAACACAAGUUUUAAGUUUGAAAGAUGCAAUUGCAUCACUCAAAGAUGAUCCCGCGUUGUAUUAGCUAGUUGGUGAGGUAAAGGCUCACCAAGGCGAUGAUACAUAGCCGACCUGAGAGGGUGAUCGGCCACAUUGGGACUGAGACACGGCCCAAACUCCUACGGGAGGCAGCAGUAGGGAAUCUUCGGCAAUGGACGAAAGUCUGAACGAGCAACGCCGCGUGAGUGAAGAAGGUUUUCGGAUCGUAAAACUCUGUUGGUAGAGAAGAACGUUGGUGAGAGUGGAAAGCUCAUCAAGUGACGGUAACUACCCAGAAAGGGACGGCUAACUACGUG